UACGUAGGUGGCGAGCGUUAUUCGGAAUUAUUGGGCGUAAAGCGUGCGUAGGCGGUUCGGUAAGUCCGGUGUGAAAGCCUGGGGCUCAACCUCGGAACGGCGCUGGGAACUGCCGGGCUAGAGUCCGGGAGGGGGAGGUGGAAUUCCAGGUGUAGCGGUGAAAUGCGUAGAGAUCUGGAAGAACACAGGUGGCGAAGGCGACCUGCUGGGCCAGGACUGACGCUGAGGCACGAAAGCGUGGGGAGCAAACAGG
rnacentral:rRNA from 1 species